CCUANGGGAGGCAGCAGUGGGGAAUUUUGGACAAUGGGCGAAAGCCUGAUCCAGCGACGCCGCGUGGAGGACGAAGGUUUUCGGAUCGUAAACUCCUUUUACAGGGGACGAAAGCCCGCAAGGGUUUGACAGUACUCUGUGAAUAAGCCACGGCUAACUACGUGCCAGCAGCCGCGGUAAUACGUAGGUGGCGAGCGUUACUCGGAUUUACUAGGCGUAAAGCGUGUGUAGGCGGGAGCUUAAGUUCGUUGUUAAAUUCCAGGGCUUAACCCUGGACUGUCGACGAAUACUGGGUUUCUUGAGUGAGGUAGGGGAAACUGGAAUUCCAGGUGUAGCGGUGAAAUGCGUAGAUAUCUGGAAGAACGCCAAAGGCGAAGGCAGGUUUCUGGGCCUUUACUGACGCUGAGGCGCGAAAGCGUGGGGAGCAAACAGGAUUAGAUACCCGANUANUC
rnacentral:rRNA from 1 species